AUUGAACGCUGGCGGCAGGCCUAACACAUGCAAGUCGAACGGCAGCACAGAAGAGCUUGCUCUUUGGGUGGCGAGUGGCGGACGGGUGAGUAAUGUCUGGGAAACUGCCCGAUGGAGGGGGAUAACUACUGGAAACGGUAGCUAAUACCGCAUAACGUCGCAAGACCAAAGUGGGGGACCUGCGGGCCUGACACAAUCGGAUGUGCCCAGAAGGGAUUAGGUAGUAUGUGGGGUAAUGGCUCACCUAGGCGCCGAUCCCUAGCUGGUAUGAGAGGAUGACCAGCCACACGGGAACUGAGACCCGGUCCAGACUCCUACGGGAGGCAGCAGUGGGGAAUAUUGCACAAUGGGCGCAAGCCUGAUGCAGCCAUGCCGCGUGUAUGAAGAAGGCCUUCGGGUUGUAAAGUACUUUCAGCGGGGAGGAAGGCGGUGAGGUUAAUAACCUUGCCGAUUGACGUUACCCGCAGAAGAAGCACCGGCUAACUCCGUGCCAGCCGCCGCAGUAA
rnacentral:rRNA from 1 species